rnacentral:lncRNA from 1 species
GGGGAAGGGAGGAGGCAAGCGUGGAAAGGUGAGAAGAGGUGAGGCAGAGGCCUACGUGGAGAGGCAGAGCCUGGGACGCUGCCUGCGGGGGAGGUCAGGGCCACAGGGAAACCCGCACCCAGCCGGACAGGAGUCAGAGGCUGUUGUCAUGGUAACUGGCAUCCCAAGGCCUGGUCUGCCUCCUGCCUCCUUUAUCGGGCUAUGAUGGUCACUGCUUCCUCUGCGAAGCACCUGUCAUGUGUGGGGGUUUGUGCCAAGCUCUUUCCAUGCACUAGGGGGAGAAACCAGGCAGCCCACCUUCAGAGCCCGCGUCUUAACUGUGACCCCACGUUGAAAUAAAAUGUGGAAACUGCCCACA